AAGCUCUUUGUUUUUUGAAAUGAUGCUUUUAUGAGAUAGAGCUUUUUUAGAUAAUGCUGGGGAAGGUUUUCCGGUUUGUCUCGGAGGGCUUGUAGCUCAAUUGGUUAGAGCGCGCGCUUGAUAAGCGUGAGGUCGGAGGUUCAAGUCCUCCCAGGCCCACCAAUUUACCUAUCCAUUUGCCUUUAUCCGUUUAUUUGCCGAUUUAUCGGUCCAUUGAAUUUAAGUGUUGGUAGCAGUUUUUAUAAUGAUGAGAAAUCAUGCUUAUAAAAGAACUCCUUAUAAAAGGCUUGUUUUUAAAAUGUGACGCUUAUCCAUUUCGCUUAAGCAAGAGAAACUUCAAGCGGUUCAAAUGCAAAAGGCUUUAAAUUUUGCAAAACAAUUUGAAUUUUAAAGUGAUCCAAGUUCGUGAUCUCGAAUUUAAAAGUUUCGAAUGCUUUAUCCUUUUUUUGGGGGCCGUAGCUCAGCUGGGAGAGCACCUGCUUUGCAAGCAGGGGGUCGUCGGUUCCGUAGCUCAGCUGGGAGAGCACCUGCUUUGCAAGCAGGGGGUCGUCGGUUC
rnacentral:misc_RNA from 1 species